AACCUUCAUGGUGUGACUUAUUAAUUUGAUACCCCUAUAGUUGUUGCAGCACUGGAUGUCGCUUUUGUUCUUGUACAAGGGCUCCACUGUACUCCACCUCUACUCCUCCGGCAUCCUUUUGGUCUUGAAGAUCGCAUUGAACAACCUGGAGAGCCACUCCAUUCCUAACCUACCCAUGCAUUUCCAGAACUCCACCGGGAUCUCGUCAGGCCCGGUCGCUCGACC
rnacentral:lncRNA from 1 species